rnacentral:rRNA from 1 species
CAGCCGCCACGGGAAUACGAAGGGGGCUAGCGUUGCUCGGAAUUACUGGGCGUAAAGGGAGCGUAGGCGGAUCGUUAAGUUGGGGGUGAAAGCCCGGGGCUCAACCUCGGAACUGCCUUCAAUACUGGCGAUCUUGAGUAUGAGAGAGGUGUGUGGAACUCCGAGUGUAGAGGUGAAAUUCGUAGAUAUUCGGAAGAACACCAGUGGCGAAGGCGACACACUGGCUCAUUACUGACGCUGAGGCUCGAAAGCGUGGGGAGCAAACAGGAUUAGAUACCCGCGUAGUCCCUGUCUCUUAUAC